AUGUCAUGAACUGGUGAGUAAUUUCUUGAUUAUGCAAUAUCACCUAGGGGUAGGGGUAUGACGAUCAAUUGGGUUUAACUUCUGCUCUAUAAUGUUUUAUUAAUUGUUAGGGGAGGCUAGGGAUAGCAAACCAGUAAUUAAUAUUAGGCUCUUUUCGCCGAGGGAUCGGGUUAAGGGUAGGCUAAGAAAGUUGCAUGACAAUUAAUUAAUCAAGCUAAUAAUUCAAGAGGAGUAAAUAAGAGAGAGCAGAUUAGAUGAAAUUGUAAACCCCCAACAACUUCAUUCAUCCAUUGUUUUCUUCUUGUCAUUUGAAUCAAUUUCUUUUGCAUGUUCAUAUUUUAUUCUCUUACCCAAUUUAUUAAUUUUUAUUUUUUAAGUCUUAUUAUUUUAAUUCACGCAAACGAGAAAGCCUUUCGAGUCUCUUGGGAAAACGAUACUUGGUCUUACCAUUUAUUAUUACUUGAUACGAUUUGGUACGCUUGCCAAUCCGUUAAC
rnacentral:lncRNA from 1 species